AAGGCAGGGCCCAAGUCAGGUAACAUUCCAGAGGGGAAGGAUUAUCAGGUGACACCGGGCUGAGGGCCCAGAGCCCGGGCUAGGAGAGAGGAAAGUUAGCAGGUGAAAGGGAUCAAUCUUGAGAAGGAAGUGACCUUUAGAAGAAGCAAAUAAGAGGAUACCAAAAAAGGGGGGUGGGGGGAAUAAGGGUAAUAGGGAAAAUGGACUCAGAAAAGCACGGAGGACAAGGUAGAGAAGGCGUGUGCGGGUAGAAAAUUUGGACUUUUGAGAGUUAACGCGACUUACCCAAGGACAUAAAGUGACUUGCCCAAGGACAUAAAUGGCAAAAAAUUUGAACCCAGCCUGCUGGAAACCCCUGCCCUCAAGUCGCCACCCCAGACCUGCUGUAAUUCUCUUCAGGACCUCUCUCCUCUGCAUCAGCCUCAUCAGUCCUGUCAUAGGUCAGGAGGUCCGCAGGCACAUCAUGAAUCUGGACACUGGGUGCAUGGUUCAGCAUCUUCAGGUUUUCAAAGAUUGUCUGGCGGAUCUGGUCCAAAUACUGGUUGGGGAUUUGGAAAAGAGAGCGAAUGAUUCCCAGAGCAUCUAUCCUUCUAGCUGCAUUUCACCCUUACCAUCCUUGUUCUAAUCCCCACCUGAUAACUGUCUCUUCUCCCAGCCCCAGUCACCUCUACUUUAACCUGGGCUGCCUCCUAGCUGAUAAAAGUGAUAGUGAUAGCUGAGAACUUCUUUCUGUUCUCUGAUUUCUCCAAUUUCCCACAUCCUGGACCUCUCCUGGCCUCUCCUCGACCCUUGUAUUCAGCCUCUCCAAGCUGCUGACCUGGCGUGAGUUCUGAUUCUCGAUGCGGGUGCUGACAUCUGGAUGGAGCGUGAAGUCUGGGGCAAAGUACUCGAAGUAUUCUAAGCAGGGAAAGGGAGAUUAGAAAAGAAGGCAUAUCAGAGACAGGGAGGUCCCAAGACUUCCCAAUCUAUUUCCUUCCCAUCCCAAACCCCUGCAUAAUGGCUCUCUAAUCUUUUCCCUGCUCUGAACUCAAGAAUUUAGUCUGCAGAGCUCCUAGAGUGUCAAAUUUCCCAUCAGUAAUAAAAAAAAAAAAAAAAUUAAUUCCCAUCUGUCUUCAAAUCAGGCGUUCCAGGGUCUUCUGAGAAUGCCUCCUACUGUGGCAGUAUCAUGCAGUGGUCCUUACCACUAUAGGGAAGCUCCUCACUAAUGGCCUCUUCUACCAGCAGUGAUGUUUCAUAUGUCCUGAAACAAAGCAGCAGAGUGGGCUACCUGAGCAAGUGGACUGAAGGGCCUAUCUGGCCACAUCUCAGGGAGCCCGCAACUCACCAACUCGCAUUGGAUAAGAAAGAAGAGAAAAAUCAGGAAGCAUACUCACCAGCAGCGGGCAACAUUUCGGACAGUAUAGCCACCACCACCUAGCACCAGUAGAGGGAUAUUGAAGCUCUUGACAUAUUCGACACAUUCUCUGUUAAAAGGAACCAAAGGAAUGGCUGGAGGAAGUUAUCAAAAGCCAAAGUAUAGCUCUCUAGGUAUUGCCUGGAAAGGGCACAAGGGAACUAGAAAAGAUUCCGUAUCUUGAUCUAGGUAGUGAAAUUCACUGAGUUGUACCCUUGAGAUAUGUGUACUUUAAUAUAUGUAUGUAGGCCUGUGACGGCCCCAGUCCAAAUAAAGUCCUGCGU